rnacentral:rRNA from 1 species
UGAGGAAUAUUGGUCAAUGGGCGUGAGCCUGAACCAGCCAAGUCGCGUGAGGGAAGACGGUACUGAGUAUUGUAAACCUCUUUUGCCGGGGAGCAAGGGCGUGCACGGGUGCACGUGUGAGCGUACCCGGAGAAAAAGCAUCGGCUAACUCCGUGCCAGCAGCCGCGGUAAUACGGAGGAUGCGAGCGUUAUCCGGAUUUAUUGGGUUUAAAGGGUGCGCAGGCGGUGGCUCAAGUCAGCGGUCAAAUGUCGGGGCUCAACCCCGGCCUGCCGUUGAAACUGGGACACUCGAGUUGGAGAGAAGUACGCGGAAUUCGUGGUGUAGCGGUGAAAUGCAUAGAUAUCACGAAGAACCCCGAUUGCGAAGGCAGCGUACCGGCUCCACACUGACGCUCAGGCACGAAAGCGUGGGUAUCGAACAGG